AAUUUUUCUUACUUUAUUGCCUACAUAUAUUCAAGUUACAUUUAUGAGAAAAAGAUUCACCAUAUACUUUCUGCGAUACAGAUAUAUCGGUUUUAGAAGUGAUUUUAUAAUUUUUGUGGAUACUUUUGUUCUUCCACCAGAGAGCUAUUCCAAGGUUUCUUGGGGAACUUCCCACUGCAUAAUUUCCUUCCCCUGCCAUGUUCCAUGAGAGAGAUGGAAAAGAAUCACAGUGAGACACCAGGGGGAGGAUUCAAAGGGACUCCCUCCUAAGCCAAAUUCCAACCAUAAGGGAAAUUUCCAUCUGCUGGUGCCCCACCUCCUAGCAUCUGUAUUCCCUUGAGGUUGUAAUGCUCUCCUGGCUCUGAAGGCCGACAAAGGCUUGACCUGUACGAAGUCCACAAUACCCUUAGCUCUGUCUAAGAUGUAAAGAUGCAAACGUCUUGCAAAAUCCAAAGCCCUGAAUGAACAGGGAGGAGACAAUGAAGGAGGGCACCCAGCACCAGCCUGACCUGAGUCCUACUUGAACUUGCUCUGUGCUUUAGCCCUCCCUUGGUUCAUAUAAUCAUAAAGAAGUACCGGAGUUGAAUGUUUUGUUUCGAUUCCUGUCAGAGUAUGAAAAAUGAACAGUGUUGUAACCGAGUCCAUGGUCACUGCUGUCGAUGGAUCUUUAUGGCAAAGUUUGUGCGUGCAGGUUGAUUGUCAUUCUCACUGAUGACGCAAACUGGUGGUUUAAUUGAUCCUUUUAAUAUAAAACAAUCUCAGCAUGAAUCACAAAUAGUUUUGACUGAUACUUGACUUUACUAGAAAAAUGAAAUCCGUUAACGUCUCUCUCUCUCUCUUUUUUUUUUUUAUAGGUGGUUCCAUGUUUAGACAAAUAAAAAUAUGGACGUUCUUCUUGUUUAGUGUCCCAUCGCUUCUGUAGUUUUCAUAUGGGGCUGCUGCACCACGUAUGCAUCAGUCAAAGCAAGGAGAAAGCUCUUCCAUCUUCUAUCAGGACGGUCCAGGCAGACCAAGAGCCCGCCUCAGCUAUUCCAAAUAUCACCUCUUUCCCUGAUAUUAUGGGAAGCCUGUGGACACAAGUUCAUCGGACCUUCAAAGGUGAAUUUUAUCAAUACAUUCUUGCACAGUGCACGCUGGGUUAA
rnacentral:lncRNA from 1 species